rnacentral:piRNA from 1 species
UAAACAGAAAGUGUCCUAGUCUGAUGUGA